GACGAACGCUGGUGGCGUGCUUAACACAUGCAAGUCGAACGGGAUUUAGUAAACAGAAGCCUCGGUGGAAGAUUACUAAUGAGAGUGGCGAACGGGUGAGUAACGCGUGAGCAACCUGCCUAUGACAGUGGGAUAGCCUCGUGAAACCGGGAUUAAUACCGCAUAAAAUCGUAGAAACACAUGUUUUAACGGUCAAAGAUUUAUCGGUCAUAGAUGGGCUCGCGUCUGAUUAGCUAGUUGGUGAGAUAACAGCCCACCAAGGCGACGAUCAGUAGCCGGUCUGAGAGGAUGAGCGGACACAUUGGAACUGAGACACGGUCCAAACUCCUACGGGAGGCAGCAGUGGGGAAUAUUGCACAAUGGGGGAAACCCUGAUGCAGCGACGCCGCGUGAACGAAGAAGGUAUUCGUAUCGUAAAGUUCUGUCCUAUGGGAAGAUAAUGACAGUACCAAAGAAGAAAGCUCCGGCUAAAUACGUG
rnacentral:rRNA from 1 species